AAGGUUAGGGUUGUAGGGGUACAGGGCUAUAGGUUAUAGGGUCAGGGUCAAGGUUAGGGUUGUAGAGGUACAGGGUUAUAGGGUUAUAAGUUAUAGGGUCAGGGUUGGGGUUAUAGGGUCAGGGUCAAGGUUAGGGUUGGGGUUGUAGUGGUACAGGGUUAUAGGGUUAUAGGUUAUAGAGUCAGGGUCAAGGUUAGGGUUGGGGUUGUAGGGAUACAGGCUUAUAGGGUUAUAGGAUUAUAGGGUUAUAGCAUGAAGUUUAGGGUUAGGGUUGUAAGGGUAUAGGGUUAUAGGGUUAUAGGGUCAGGGUUGGGGUUGUAGGAGUACAGGCUUAUAGGGUUUGGAUUAUAGGAUUAGGGUUAUAGGGUCAGUGUUAUGGGGUUGUAGAGGCACAGGAUUAUAGGGUUAUAGGGUCAGGGCUAUAGGGUCAGGUCUAUAGGGUUGUAGAGGCAUAGGAUUAUAGGGUUACAGGGUCAGGGUUAUGGGGUUACAGAGGCACAGGAUUAUAGGGUUAUGGGGUCAGGGUUAUGGGGUUGUAGAGGCACAGGAUUAUAGGGUUAUAGGGUCAGGGCUACAGGGUCAGGGCUAUAGGGUUGUAGAGGCACAGGAUUCUAGGGUUAUAGGGUCAGGGUUAUGGGGUUGUAGAGGCACAGGAUUCUAG
rnacentral:lncRNA from 1 species